rnacentral:rRNA from 1 species
CUGGCUCAGGAUGAACGCGGGCGGUAUGCUUAACACAUGCAAGUCGAACGGUCUUUUCGGAGAUAGUGGCGGACGGGUGAGUAACGCGUAAGAAUCUACCUUCAGGUUGGGGACAACCACUGGAAACGGUGGCUAAUACCGAAUGUGCCGAGAGGUGAAAGGCUUGGCUGCCUGAAGAAGAGCUUGCGUCUGAUUAGCUAGUUGGUGUGGUAAAGGCGCACCAAGGCGACGAUCAGUAGCUGGUCUGAGAGGAUGAUCAGCCACACUGGGACUGAGACACGGCCCAGACUCCUACGGGAGGCAGCAGUGGGGAAUUUUCCGCAAUGGGCGAAAGCCUGACGGAGCAAUACCGCGUGAGGGAGGAAGGCUCUUGGGUUGUAAACCUCUUUUCUCAGGGAAGAAAAAAAUGACGGUACCUGAGGAAUAAGCAUCGGCUAACUCCGUGCCAGCAGCCGCGGUAAUACGGAGGAUGCGAGCGUUAUCCGGAAUGAUUGGGCGUAAAGGGUCCGCAGGUGGCAUUGUAAGUCUGCUGUUAAAGAGUUUGGCUCAACCAAAUAAAAGCAGUGGAAACUACAAAGCUAGAGUAUGGUCGGGGCAGAGGGAAUUCCUGGUGUAGCGGUGAAAUGCGUAGAUAUCAGGAAGAACAUCGGUGGCGAAGGCGCUCUGCUAGGCCAAAACUGACACUGAGGGACGAAAGCUAGGGGAGCGAAUGGGAUUAGAUACCCCAGUAGUCCUAGCCGUAAACGAUGGAUACUAGGCGUAGCUCGUAUCGACCCGAGCUGUGCCGUAGCUAACGCGUUAAGUAUCCCGCCUGGGGAGUACGCAGGCAACUGUG